GUUGCACGUAGCUUAACCCUAAAGUAUAGCACUGAAAAUGCUAAGAUGGUAUAACCCUACAACA
rnacentral:tRNA from 1 species